GGACGAACGCUGGCGGCGUGCUUAACACAUGCAAGUCGAACGGAAAGGCCUGCAGCUUGCUGCGGGUACUCGAGUGGCGAACGGGUGAGUAACACGUGGGUGAUCUGCCCUCAACUUUGGGAUAAGCCUGGGAAACUGGGUCUAAUACCGGAUAUGACCUUUCUUUAGUGUGGAAGGUGGAAAGCUUUUGCGGUUGGGGAUGAGCUCGCGGCCUAUCAGCUUGUUGGUGGGGUAAUGGCCUACCAAGGCGUCGACGGGUAGCCGGCCUGAGAGGGUGUACGGCCACAUUGGGACUGAGAUACGGCCCAGACUCCUACGGGAGGCAGCAGUGGGGAAUAUUGCACAAUGGGCGGAAGCCUGAUGCAGCGACGCCGCGUGGGGGAUGAAGGCCUUCGGGUUGUAAACUCCUUUCGACAGGGACGAAGCUUUUUGUGACGGUACCUGUAUAAGAAGCACCGGCUAACUACGU
rnacentral:rRNA from 3 species